rnacentral:rRNA from 1 species
UGGUGAACCAGCGGAGGGAUCAUUACUGAGUUUACGCUCUACAACCCUUUGUGAACAUACCUAUAACUGUUGCUUCGGCGGGUAGGGUCUCCGUGACCCUCCCGGCCUCCCGCCCCCGGGCGGGUCGGCGCCCGCCGGAGGAUAACCAAACUCUGAUUUAACGACGUUUCUUCUGAGUGGUACAAGCAAAUAAUCAAAACUUUUAACAACGGAUCUCUUGGUUCUGGCAUCGAUGAAGAACGCAGCGAAAUGCGAUAAGUAAUGUGAAUUGCAGAAUUCAGUGAAUCAUCGAAUCUUUGAACGCACAUUGCGCCCGCCAGCAUUCUGGCGGGCAUGCCUGUUCGAGCGUCAUUUCAACCCUCAAGCUCUGCUUGGUGUUGGGGCCCUACAGCUGAUGUAGGCCCUCAAAGGUAGUGGCGGACCCUCCCGGAGCCUCCUUUGCGUAGUAACUUUACGUCUCGCACUGGGAUCCGGAGGGACUCUUGCCGUAAAACCCCCAAUUUUCCAAAGGUUGACCUCGGAUCAGGUAGGAAUACCCGCUGAACUUAAGCAUAUCA